rnacentral:rRNA from 1 species
AUUGAACGCUGGCGGCAUGCCUUACACAUGCAAGUCGAACGGUAACAGGUUAAGCUGACGAGUGGCGAACAGGUGAGUAAUAUAUCGGAACGUGCCCAGUCGUGGGGGAUAACUGCUCGAAAGAGCAGCUAAUACCGCAUACGACCUGAGGGUGAAAGCGGGGGAUCGCAAGACCUCGCGCGAUUGGAGCGGCCGAUAUCAGAUUAGGUAGUUGGUGGGGUAAAGGCCUACCAAGCCUACGAUCUGUAGCUGGUCUGAGAGGACGACCAGCCACACUGGGACUGAGACACGGCCCAGACUCCUACGGGAGGCAGCAGUGGGGAAUUUUGGACAAUGGACGCAAGUCUGAUCCAGCCAUGCCGCGUGCGGGAAGAAGGCCUUCGGGUUGUAAACCGCUUUUGUCAGGGAAGAAAAGGUUCUGGUUAAUACCUGGGACUCAUGACGGUACCUGAAGAAUAAGCACCGGCUAACUACGUGCCAGCCGCCGCCGUAAAAC